rnacentral:tRNA from 1 species
GCCUUCGUGGUGUAGUUCGUGGCACGCUUGGCCCGUAUUCGAGAGGUCUGUGGUUCGAGUCCCGGCGAGGGUA